rnacentral:rRNA from 1 species
CCUACGGGAGGCAGCAGUGGGGAAUCUUGGACAAUGGGCGCAAGCCUGAUCCAGCCAUGCCGCGUGAGUGAAGAAGGCCUUCGGGUUGUAAAGCUCUUUUGUCAGGGACGAUAAUGACGGUACCUGAAGAAUAAGCCCCGGCAAACUUCGUGCCAGCAGCCGCGGUGAUACGAAGGGGGCUAGCGUUGUUCGGAUUUACUGGGCGUAAAGCGUACGUAGGCGGAUUGUUAAGUGAGAGGUGAAAUCCCAGGGCUCAACCCUGGAACUGCCUUUCAUACUGGCAAUCUCGAGUUCGGAAGAGGUGAGUGGAAUUCCUAGUGUAGAGGUGAAAUUCGUAGAUAUUAGGAAGAACACCGGUGGCGAAGGCGGCUCACUGGUCCGAUACUGACGCUGAGGUACGAAAGCGUGGGGAGCAAACAGGAUUAGAUACCCUGGUAGUCCACGCCGUAAACUAUGGGUGCUAGCCGUUGGAAAGCUUGCUUUUCAGUGGCGCAGCUACGACAUAAGACACCCGCCCGUCGGGAGGUACGGUCGCGAGAAUAAACUAACAAUAGAAUAGACGGCGNGAGACGNGCCGAACGGACGACGACGAGGGAGGUAGG